AUAGCUCAGUCGGUAGAGCAGAGGAUUGAAAAUCCUCGUGUCGGUGGUUCGAUUCCGCCUCCGGGCACCACAAUUU
rnacentral:tRNA from 1 species